rnacentral:ncRNA from 2 species
GAACAGGAUAGAGGUGCGCCUUUUAAUAGUAAUAUCGUUGAGGUUUUCGGGGCCAUCGAUACGAUAUGAAAGGAAAAGGUGCCGAAGGUAUGGGGACCCUGAAUGACCCAGAGCCUGGAUCGCCGGUUAAUAAUCGUCGGUCUGUCGUCAACAUUAGGUUGAUGGAGAGCUAUCUGUUGC